UUUGCGCAUGGAGAAACUCUGNGCAGCAACGCCGCGUGGGGGAUGAAGCUUUAUGGAGUGUAAACCCCUGUAAGCAGGGACGAAAGGCAGAUAAUCGAAAGGUUAUGUGCGUGACGGUACCUGCAGAGUAAGCUCCGGCUAACUCCGUGCCAGCAGCCGCGGUAAUACGGGGGGAGCGAGCGUUGUCCGGAAUUACUGGGCGUAAAGGGCGUGUAGGCGGUUUGAUAAGUCAGAUGUUAAAGGUUCCGGCUUAACCGGAGAAGGUCAUUUGAAACUGUCAUGCUGGAGUGCGAGAGAGGGUAGCGGAAUUCCCAGUGUAGCGGUGAAAUGCGUAGAUAUUGGGAAGAACACCAGUAGCGCAGGCGGCUACCUGGCUCGUAACUGACGCUGAGGCGCGAAAGCGUGGGGAGCAAACAGGAUUAGAUACCCUGGUAGUCCACGCUGUAAACGAUGAGCACUAGGUGUUGGUCCCGACUUGUCGGGAUCAGUGCCGCAGUUAACACAUUAAGUGCUCCGCCUGGGGAGUACGAUCGCAAGGUUGAAACUCAAAGGAAUUGACGGGA
rnacentral:rRNA from 1 species